UCUUGAUUCUUUCAGUUACUUCACGCAACGUCAACAAGGGAAUCCGGAGAAAGGGAAAGGGGGAGAGACGAAUUAAGUUUCAACGCGUUAGAGGAGAGAUGGUAAGCAUUUAUAGAACAUCAUGCUUUAAAAAAUGAAGAUGGAAGCUUGUAGAGCUACCAGUUAAAAGCACCUGUCCCAUUUCACUCACUCUUAGUAAGCAGGAUAAAUAACUCCUCAUCUUUGAUUGCACCCAUCUCCAUAGCCCUGUCCAGGGCGCUGAGUCCACCAUAAUCCUUGAUUGAUGCACGAGCACCUCUUCUAAGCAAAAAUUUAGCCAAGUGGUGUCUUCCAUUGCCGAUGCAAUGUUGUAGAGGAGUCCUUCCAUGAAAAUCACGCCUAUUAAUAUCAGAACCAAAUUGCAGAAGAAGUUCAAGCAUCACCGGAGUUUCCCCAUUGCAGGCUAGAUGUAACAAAGAACAGCCUUGAAGGCAAAGCUUGAUUCCCUGACAGGCUGCUGGGUUUUGAUGUUUCUUUUGGGAAUCCUGAAGGCCUAGUUUUGAAUCAUUUUCAUGAAUUUCAUGGUACAUUGUGG
rnacentral:misc_RNA from 1 species